rnacentral:rRNA from 1 species
CUGAGUGGCCAUGUCAGGCUGAAUUAACCUGAUCUUGGAAUCUCAGCAGGCCUGGACCUGGCUAGCAAUACUUUGAUGGGAGACCACGUUGGACUCCUAGACAUGAUAGA